rnacentral:rRNA from 1 species
UACAGAGGUCUCAAGCGUUGUUCGGAUUCAUUGGGCGUAAAGGGUGCGUAGGCGGCGCGGUAAGUCGGGUGUGAAAUCCCGGAGCUUAACUCCGAAACUGCAUUCGAUACUGCCGUGCUUGAGGACUGGAGAGGAGACUGGAAUUUACGGUGUAGCGGUGAAAUGCGUAGAUAUCGUAAGGAACACCAGUGGCGAAGGCGGGUCUCUGGACAGUUCCUGACGCUGAAGCACGAAGGCCAGGGGAGCAAACGGG